CAGUCGCCACGGGAAUACGGAGGGUGCAAGCGUUAAUCGGAAUUACUGGGCGUAAAGCGCACGCAGGCGGUCUGACAAGUCAGAUGUGAAAUCCCCGGGCUUAACCUGGGAACUGCAUUUGAAACUGUCAGGCUGGAGUCUUGUAGAGGGGGGUGGAAUUCCAGGUGUAGCGGUGAAAUGCGUAGAGAUCUGGAGGAAUACCGGUGGCGAAGGCGGCCCCCUGGACAAAGACUGACGCUCAGGUGCGAAAGCGUGGGGAGCAAACAGGAUUAGAUACCCGUGUAGUCCCUGUCUCUUAUAA
rnacentral:rRNA from 1 species